GCCUGGGGGUGCAGAUCCUCUCCAGGAGAUCUAACAGAACUGCAAGUCUUCUCCACCAGCAGAUGGCGACUGAUAGACCACGCUUGAACACGCCUUGCUUCAAGACCGAGGUCUGCGCAUGCUCCUUGAACACCAGGCUGCGGGCUGUUCCAGAUGUAUGCUAGAGUAACAGCAUUGCAUUACUUCCCCGGUGUCCUCAUUUGGGACCUGAACCUCUGGUUUCUUGCUUCCAGGACAGAAGGGAGGAGCCAAGCUGACAGGAUUGCUGUGUUCUCUGCAAGAAUCAGUUGCCCAAGAUGCAGCUGUCACCUGAUUAUAAAUCUCCUAACAUCUGGGGAGCAAGGCACAGGCCAUGGAUGAAGAUUUUCCAGGCUGGGACACAAAAAGGCUGAGCCUCUGUAGCUCUCCCUGCUCUAUCAACCUCACAGACUGGUAACUGGGCGCCAUAGCACAAACACAGCUCUCAGCAGGGAGGUAAAGAGCUAAGGUCUUGUGAAUCUCUGUCCUCUGCAGUUUCUCUGUUUCAGGUUUUCUGUAUUCCAGAGUUUAGGACAGCUGUGCCUGCUUAGCAGCUUGGUGUGAGAGGGCAAAGACUUCUGCAGCCAGCUGGUUGUGCAUUUUAAAAGUCUACCAGGCAGCUAAACCAGCCAAUCCUGGUUUGCCAACCUCUACCCGCCUUCCAAAAAUCACAAGCAUGCUGGGGUUGAGGUGGGGAACAGUUUAAGUGUGUCAUUGCUAAAAACAGAAAGUAAAUGUGCCCACAGAAGAGGAAAUGGAGAGUCUGUCAGAAGCCAGGAAAAGGAAACCUAAGGCAGAUCAGGGCUGAGCAGAUGUAGAAGAGCCUAGACAAUUCAGUCACUGCAGGGUGAGGGCUGCUGGACCACUGGGGAAGGUACUGGUUUGGCUUCUGAGUACUUGGGACACGGCUCCCUGAGGAUGACCUCGUGCUGGUCCUGAUUGGACCUGGAUUUCCAGAGGACUGGAGUUCAUCUGCAUCCUGUCGGCCACAGUCAGGGAGUGGCUAAAAACACACAGACAAGCCCAGACACCACUGAGCUGCCUCCCUUCUAGCUGUGCUGGCCCUGGUCACCCUGGCACCUUAAAACUGCCUGCAUUGAGCAAAGAGAAUUUCCCCUGGUGGCUCAGAAAACUUGCAGAAACUUGGAGGCUCAGCCAAAGAGGAACUGGUGGCCAUUUACUGACCGAAAUCUGCCCCACCCAUAACCAGCUGGCCUUGGUCUGAGACCCUAGCAGCUAGGAGCCUCUGAUCUCCAUCCUGGACGAAUGUUAAUUCCAGAUAGAAGACAUCCUUAGAUGGGAUGGGUGGUGGGUUGGUGGAUUGGGGUACAGAAAGGGGAUGACAGUAAGACCAACAGCAAUCCAGGCAGCAAAACCUUGUACAUGAGUCAGGACUACACAUAACGGGGCAAUCACACUCCGGGAUGCAUCCAGACCUGGAGACAUGUGGUACCCCUCUGGUCAGGUUAUGGUUAUCCCUGCUCACCAAGUCUGGCUACUUAACACCCAGCAGUGCCCUUGUACUAGUUAAGAAAAAGCAACUGAAUUUCCAAAAGGGAGCUGCAAUGUUGGCUGAAUGUAAGCAGCAGCAGAAUCAAUCCCAUCCCUGCCAAGACCCAGUUGCUGAUGCAGGAUUCUGAACUUCAGAGGAAACUAAGUAAUUCUCCCUGUGGAGACACUGAACCUGAUCAAAGAAGGUUUGAGGAGAGAAGGAGGCUGAGAGCAGAUUUGCACCAGGCCAUUCAGAAAGGGCAUCUUGAAGAGAACUCCUGGACUUUAGCUCUGGAGGAAGUAAGGGGCUGGAGAGAUGGUUCAGUGGUUAAGAGUUCCGAUUGCUCUUCCAGAGGUCCUGAGUUCAAUUCCCAGCAACCACAUGGUGGCUUGCAACCAUCUGUAAUGGUAUCUGAAAACUUCUUCUGGUGUAUCUGAAGACAGCUACAGUGUACUCACUCUACAGUGUCCUCACAUACGUAAAAUAAAUAAAGUUUUUUUUUUUAAAAAAGGAAGUCUUUCUUGCAUUUUAGGGGUGUGAGGAAAGCAAAUAAACAUUCUUUGGGUUUGUUUGUUUUUUUGUUUUUUAGAGCUUAAAAACAAAAUGACUAAAAGUGCUUGACUCUGUUUCUUCUAGGCAUGGAACCAGAGAUAACCUGAGAAGUUGCUGGUGUUGCAGUCUUCAGAGAGCUACAGGAAAUAUCCGGGUACCCAGAUGUUGUUUUGUACCUAGUGCACCUCCAAACACAUGCACCCUGAUUGUAAUUGAUAGGUAUAAGCAUGGAAGAUUUGUCAUUCUUUAUAAAUAUGUUGUUUCAUUCAUUCUUCCAUCCAAUUUCCAUUCAUUCAUUCUGUGGUGGUUUAAAGGAAGGUGGUCCUCACAGGCUCAUAUUUGAAUGGGGUUGGCUCCUAGUUGGUUAAACUCUUUUUGAAAGAUAAGGAGGUGUUCUCAUUUUGGAAGGAAGUGAUUCUAAGUGUUUCUCCCUCCCCCUCCCCCUCCCCCUGCUCUUCCCUCUCUUCAUCUUCCUGUGUGCCUCUCCCUCUUCUUGUCUCUCUCUCUGUCUCUGUUAAUCUGUCUCUCUGUCUCACUCUCACUCCUUCCCUAUGGGUGGUGCUGCCAUCUGGUGGUGAAACACGAUGUGAGCACUCUCAGCCAUUCCUUCCCUCUGCUGUCAAGGGUUCUAACUCUGUGAAACCAUAAUCCACACUAACCCCUUCUUUCACAAGUUGCUUUGAUCUGGAUUAUGUUGUUUUAUCAGAGCCAAGGAAAAGUGACAGAUACAUUCACCCUUUUCUGUUUGCCCACAUGUGAAGCUGCGUGUCCUUGAUUUCAUGCAGCUCUGUGUUCUCUUUCUAGCUCUGACCCCAUCCACCUCUCAAGCAUCCCUGAGAUCAUUAGGCAACUUUUCCCCAUACAUUUUCCUGAGGGACUCACAUGUGACAAGAAGAAAACACGAUUUCAUGUAUCCAGCAAGCUUUAACACACAAAUGAGAGACAAUGGAUAUCUGUCAUCUGGAGACUUGGUCAUCCAUUGGGUGUGGCUGUCUCCAGGCACAAGCAUCUUUAAGCAGACAGUACAACUUCAUCCUUCUUGUGAAGAACAAUAAUUGCUACACAUCUGAUCCCCACUCCCUCUUCAUUCAGUCUUUCACCAGAGGAAAGAUAUAUCAUUGGUUAUAUCACUUAGCAUUUAGAAACAGAGCUGCACGUAGGGUCACUGGUUAAGUAUCUCUGGGGUGUGUUGAUUCUCAGGUCCCCAAGAAUAUUGGACAUGCAAAUGGUAUUCAGCCAUUCAUGGGGAUUUAACACCUAGAGAGAUAAAGUAAACCUCCAACCAACAAAAGCACCAAACCAAACCAGGUAAAUGCAUUAGCAACCA